CACAUAGUUAGCCGGUGCUUCUUCUUUAGGUACCGUCACUUUCGCUUCUUCCCUACUGAAAGAGGUUUACAAUCCGAAGACCUUCAUCCCUCACGCGGCGUCGCUGGGUCAGGCUUUCGCCCAUUGCCCAAUAUUCCCUA
rnacentral:rRNA from 1 species